ACGCUAAACUGUCAUCUCAAACAAAAACAAAUGGACCAUAUAACUGACUAUGAUGUGAAAACAUCUGGCUUUUCUAUAGCCAUCAAUAGAAACUAGCCGGAAGAUGAUUUCCCCCAUUACCAGUCGCCAAACAACAAGAACAACAGUGCAGAUUUUCACCGUUGUCACAGGAGCCAACAACAUCUGCAAUUCCAAUCAGCAGUAUCCUCCAAACCCAUGCCGGGGACAGCAACAACAGCGGCAACAGCAGAAUCGAAUCCUCGGGCACAAAUGUGUAUCAAGGAAAUAAAAACUAUCAACGCAGGAGGUAUUUAUCAACGAGCUCAGCUGGACUCGAAUCGUCAAUCCGGAAACCCCGGAUUUAAAAAUUUCGCUGUAUUGUGGUUAUUUGUAUAUCACAAACACAUAUUGUUUUGUAAUACGUAUUUUUUCGAGUAAUAAAAUGACUAAAAUUGA